rnacentral:lncRNA from 1 species
GCAGUUUUAGAGAUGCUCAACAACAGAGCAUAGAAUGUAUGUGCUGUAAGUUCUUCAUCCAAUCUUCAUAUUUGACAUGAAUUACGCUAUAGAAUUUCAUUGAUAAAGUGACUGAAACUGAUUAGUGAUCAUUCAUACAUCAUUUUCAUGUUCAUAUUCAAAAGAUAAACAAUUGAUCAUUGUCUCUUAAUGCGUCUAAUUCUUCGACUUGUGAGCCGUCCACCAUCACAAAUGUGCUCCUCUGUUUCCCAACUUUUUCUCUGCAUUCACAAAAACAAAAAACAAAAAUGCUAUCAUUGAUGUGAAUUUAUGAAUUUGAAUUUAUCUUCUUUUAUGUAUGAAUUUGAAUGUGUGAGAUGAUUCUCAUAUUAUAUAUAUAUAUAUAUAUAUUUGGCAAUGUGUGAAAUCAUUGAACUCUCUCGCCUUCUAGGGGUUGAUUUUAGAUUCUCAUUAGUUCAUAUUUGUAAUAGCCACUUAUCAUCAAAGACCAUCUUACAGUAUUUUGGAAUUGGUUAGCUUAGUCUUCAACAAAUCUCUUGGUAUUGAAAAUGUAAUCUUCAUUAGCAUGAACUGAAAGUACUCGGUACUGGCUUUUACAUUGGGGAGAAUUCAUAAUAUUUUAUUCGAUAAAAAAGAUAAGUAGACUUAGAUUUAUAGUCUAAGUAUUCUAUUAAAAAGGAGAUGUGCGCCUCUGUAUUCAGUUCAUCCAGCAAUUCUGUUAGAAAAGGGAUUUCUUGUAGCAUCUCUUGUUUUAAGUCUUUCAAGUGCUAAGAAGAAAAGAGUCAGUGUAAACAAAUGCCUAUGCAUCAUAGGGUUAGUUAUAUAUAUAUAUAUAUAUAUAUUAAAAGAAGGAAAUGAGAGCAAUGGAUAUUCAGGUUACAAUACAAAACUACAUUUGCUAGCUGAUAUACUCUUACUUAAGUUAUAAGGUGGUAUUGCUUAAGUUAUAAGGUUGUAUUGCUUUUAAACCUAAAAAUGUUGAGGCACUAACUUGUACACGAGACUGGAUAUUUAUUUGUUUCUUUUUAUCAUCAUCUAAAGUCUUAUUUGGGCAGUUAGCUAUAACUAUUGUUUUAUUUGGCUUGUAUAUUUUCAUGUUUACAGGCCUUCCCAACCCAUUGAACAUGAAACUUCACUGCAAUCAAUGGUACCAUGCAUAUGAAGAGUCCUAAUUUACACGACUUCUAUAUCUUCUACAUGGGAAAGGGACUUACUCUUCUUCUUGUGCUUCUUAAUUUCAAAUUGGUUUUGAUUAUGUUUUUCAGUUAGGUAUUGUUUUGAUUAUGAUUUUGAAUUUGCAGGUAUUCCAACUAGCGGCCCAUCCACCCUUCCCAGCAUCUGAUAAGGGUAAAUUUUUUUUUUUUCCUUCAAAUUUAUCUCUCUGUCUCUAUCUUUCAUUUUGGUGAAUGGUUGAGGAUGUUAUUUAUUUAUUUUAGUAAUGCAUGAGGAAUAUAUAUAUUAUGAACUGCAUGUUAAAAACUAUCAUGCUACAUUGGAAGUGGUGUUAUUUGCCUAAUCUUGGCAUAGUGCUAAGAAUAGUUAAUUUUGGAAUCACAAAAUGAGGACGUAAAGACAAACACCAGGCCAUUGUACAUUGCAUUGGAGAUAUGGUUGAAGCUGGUCCCAGCUUUUGGCUGCUUUCGUUGCACUUUUUUGUUUGAUAUUCAAAGCCUAUAAGAUUGAUGAUCGUUAUACAAUCCAACAAGUAAAAAAAGGAAAAAGAAAAGAACAAAUCUCUACCCCAAACUGGCAUUUUGCUUUCUAUUCAAGUUAAUUAUGUUGUAGGUUUGUUCUUUUUUUGUUUACAAUGAUGAAUUUCUAAUUGUUUUCAUAUAACCCCCAUUGCUUUAUGUUUCCAUUCAUUUUAUUGAUAGUUUCGUGAUUGUUUUUCAGGUUGGGGUAAAGAAUUAGGCCAAGUACAAGACUAAUAUACUAUUUUGGAGUCUAUUUAUUUGGCUACUUGAAUUUGUAAUAUUUUCAUUGUAUCUGGAGAUUGUAUUUUUUUUCAAAAAAAAAUAUAUACAUGAUGACUUAAGAUUUUAGAUUUAUAAUUAUUGGUUCUGUAGAGUGAAUGUAUUGAACAAUACUUUCAAUUACAUGAAUGAAGUUUAU